rnacentral:tRNA from 1 species
AGUAUCAUCUUCUUUUUUAUAUAUAUAUUUUUUUAACCUUUAUUUAACUUGGCAAGUCAGUUAAGAACAAAUUCUUAUUUUAAAAUGACAGCCUACUCCAGCCAAACCCAGACAAUGCUUGGGCCAAUUGUGUGCCGCCCUAUGGGACUCCCAAUCACGGCCGGAUGUGAUACAGCCUGGAUUUGAACAAGAGACUUUUGUGUCACCUCUUGCACUGAGAUGCAGUGCCUUAGACCACUGCGCCAGUCGGGAGCCCAAAACCACAUAAACUGCAGCCGCUCGAUAGGUCAAUGCAGGCUGGGUAAAACUGGCCCUUUAAAGUAAUGUUGAUGUGCACUGUGCCUGUAAAACUGUAUUUAAUAAAGUUAAGUGUGUUGGCAUAUGACAAAACACGUCAACUCAGCAGUUGACUCCUGGAUGCUUAAUAACACUGGGGAAAACAAUGCCCAACAACAAUGACUUUCCUGGGAUUGUGGCUGUGUUUAUGUGAAGUCAUUACGUCCAGCUGUUUUUAUCGACACAUGACAGUUCAAUGAAAACACACCGAAGCAUUUGAACUUUCUAAAAUGUCGACCAAAAAUCACUGGACAAGUUAUUGGAAUCGUAGCUAGUGCCACAAGCAGUUAUUAACCACCACAGUGAACCAGUUAUUAUUGGUUAACAGUUAUUAACCACCUUGAACUAUAUUGUCAGAAGCAUAGUUGCAUUUUUUUUUUUCAAUUAAUUUGCUUUGGAAAACAAGCAGAAAAUGUUGUGGGCUAAAGAUGGCAAAUACAUUCUUAGAUAAAUGUCGAUCCAAUCAGAAACAACUUAAUCUCCAAAAUGGGGUCCUGAGUGGUGCGGCGGUCUAAGGCACUGCAUCUCAGUGCCAUAUGCAUCACUACAGACACCCUGGCUGUAUCACAACCGGCCGUGAUUGGGAGUCCCAUAGGGAGGCGCACAAUGGGCUCAGCAUCAUCCGGGUUUGGCUGGUGUAGGCCGUCAUUGUAAAUAAGAAUUUGUUCUUAACUGACUUGCCUAGUUAAAAAAAAUGUAAAAAAUGUAAAUGCUAUCCUUGUUGUAUUUGGUUUGAAUUUCAGAACAAUAGACCAUAAGGUUUUUACCAGGCAUGAAUCCAUCCAUUAGAACACAUGUAACUUCUAUGUGCUCGAGAAAUUCAGCAAAAUUAAGAAAAUAUCCGCCUACCAUUCUAUCAUGUCAACCAUCUGUUCAAAUCAAAAUAAUUCCAUGUGUCCGCCUUUGACCUAUGCUGUAUUUAAUCAAUACACAACUUUCAAGGGGUAUGCUAAGGUAUUUGGUUCAAACAUAAGAAUAGUUUUCCAUUUUAUAACAUUACAUUAUCACAUUCUUUCUCGCUCGAGGAAGGCAAUUUGAACUUUCAAAACUGUCAAGAACCCCCUCCUUCUCUGUAAAUGCCUUCUCAUAGGUUAUAAUUUUUGCAAGCAAGUAUAAAUCAAAAUCUUUAUGCUCUUGCUUUGUUUUCUUAUGUUUUCUAAUGAGCUCGAGGCCACUGCCAGCAGCACACACUCUGAUGCCUUUCGGGCACUUGUCUUGAUUCCAGUCAUUCAUUCCUCGUAAGAGACGUGAUGAAAGCAGAGGUUGAUGGUGGAGGUCGCCGCUUGAUUAAUGUUGGAUCCCAUAAGACCCAAGGGUUUGGAAAAGUCCCACUCGUUGGGAAAAGUCCUAUUGAUUCCAGAGGAGUAGAGCUGGAUGGCGAGGCUGCUGGCCCGCUGUGGGUAACUCUUCUUCCACAAUUUGGCUCGAGUAGAAGCGAAGCUCCUUCCGCUCUUCAAGGAGGCCUGAUCAUAGUCCUGCCACCUCCCCGGGAACUGUCCCACCUUCAACCACAAAUGCUGGCCACUCGCAAGCGAGAUGAAAAAGUUUCUAAGGCCACAAUGUGGUCACCGCCGAGUGGUUUUAUCAUCCCUGUGCCAUUAACUCUAAAAUGACCAGAGGAUUUGCCAUGGAGGAGGAGGAGAAGGAGAUUUAAGGAGGUGAUUUGUUUCACACUGCAAAAUCCUAGCACAAGCCUGGACCAACAGGCAGCUAAUGAAGAGGGCCCUGGAGGAGGAAGUGGAAAGGCAGGAGGGAGAGGAGAGCUAGGAGGAAAGUGAGGAAGUGGAGGACAGUGAGGAGGAGGAUGAGGGUCUACAGGAGGAAGAUGGAGAAAACAAGGAAAGUGAGGAGGAAGAUGAGGAGAUUGUGUUGGAAGCCACUCCAGUUACCUUCACCAUCCCGCAGGUUCUCCAGCAAACAAGUAAAGGGUGCCGGCACAGGUUUUUACCUUUUUAUUUCCAGAAACAACACCCCCAAAAACACCCCACCACCCAGACAGCAACAUUCCUACACCGAUUUGUGAAACUCUCUGUUGGUUUUAGCUCCCCAUCAAUUGAUGUAAAAACACAUAUAAUAAUAAUGAUGAUAAAAGCAGUUAAAAAGAAAACUACUGCUUAGACUGCCCUUCCUGCUUAUAUUUACAUUUUAGUCAUUUAGCAGACACUCUUAUCCAGAGCGACUGCAUACAUUUCAUACAUGUAUUUUCUUUCGCACUGGUCCGCCGUGGGAAUCGAACCCACAACCCUGGCGUUGCAAACACCAUGCUCUACCAACUGAGCCACACAGACUGCCCGUCUCCCCUUCCUGCUUAGACUGCCCCUCUGCCCUUCCUGCUUAGACUGCCCGUCUCCCCUUCCGGCUUAGACUGCCCCUCUGCCCUUCCUGCGUAGACUGCCCGUCUGCCCUUCCUGCUUAGACUGCCCCUCUCCCCUUCCUGCUUAGACUGCCCGUCUGCCCUUCCUGCUUAGACUGCCCCUCUGCCCUUCCUGCUUAGACUGCCCCUCUGCCCUUCCUGCUUAGACUGCCCCUCUGCCCUUCCUGCUUAGACUGCCCCUCUGCCCUUCCUGCGUAGACUGCCCCUCUGCCCUUCCUGCUUAGACUGCCCCUCUGCCCUUCCUGCUUAGACUGCCCCUCUGCCCUUCCUGCUUAGACUGCCCCUCUGCCCUUCCUGCUUAGACUGCCCCUCUGCCCUUCCUGCUUAGAAUGCCCCUCUCCCCUUCCUGCUUAGACUGCCCCUCUGCCCUUCCUGCGUAGACUGCCCGUCUGCCCUUCCUGCUUAGACUGCCCCUCUGCCCUUCCUGCUUAGACUGCCCGUCUGCCCUUCCUGCUUAGACUGCCCGUCUCCCCUUCCUGCUUAGACUGCCCGUCUGCCCUUCCUGCUUAGACUGUCCGUCUGCCCUUCCUGCUUAGACUGUCCGUCUCCCCUUCCUGCUUAGACUGCCCGUCUGCCCUUCCUGCUUUUGUUCGAUAUGUUAUAGCCUCUGCAGAGUCCCCAACAAACAGAUGUUCUGGUUUUCAGGGGAAAUGGAAGGAGAGCCUGUGACAUGACUUCCGCUUUUCGACAUUAACAAGGCAACAUCGGCGACACUCCAUCUUAACUCCUCCCCCACAUUUACUGGAUUGGUUGAAACAGUGCAGAAGAGAUCCUCUCGUGACAGUUUUUUUUUCUUCUCGUCAAGACCAGUAUUUAGGGGAUCCAGUUUCUUUUAUGCUUUGCUACGUAAAGUUAGCAGUGAUGUAAUCUCAAUAUAUGCUGCUUAGAUAGCUGCAUGUAACUCCCAAUGUAAAAACAUGUUAAUCAUGUCAUUUAUUAUAGUUAUAACAUCAUUUUGUAGGCUACAACAUGUUCAUCAUGCCGUUUAUAGUUACAGCAGACAAAGAAACGUGUACAACAUGCCUUAGCUAUUGGUUAGCUUUCAAGGGCCAUGCUGUUGAGGACGGCAAGGAUCCUCGCCGAACGGCCGUUCGAGGAAGAAGAUAGCAGCAUAGAGGUGUCAUGACUUCCGCCGAAGUCGGUCCCUCUCCUUGUUCGGGCGGCGUUCGGCGGUCGAUGUCACCGGCCUUCUAGCCAUCGCCGAUCCACUUUUCAUUUUCCAUUUGUUUUGUCUUUGUUUUACACACCUGGUUUCAAUUUCCCAGUUACUUGUUCAUUAUUUAACCCUCUGUUUUCCCCAUGGUUUUUGUGCGUGUUUGUUUUAUGUGUUUCUGUCCGUUUGUGUGGGCUUGGUAUAUCUACAUGUAUUUGGCGAUUUUUGAGUAAAGUUACUUUUAUUACUCAUCUCUGCUGUCCUGCGCCUGACUCCUCUGCACCAGCUACACACAGAGCAUUACAAGAGGAUGAAGGUGCUGCAACAGAAGCUCAAGCAACUCCAAACCUGGCGACAACUUUGCCGCAAGCCAUCAGCAUGUCAACAGAAAAAAAGGAAAAAACGAA